UAGCUGUCAAAGGGGGUGGAUGCAUUCUCCCCACUCCUGAUGCAGGAGCUCACAGGAGACUUCAGUUACCCUGAGGACUCGCCUAAGCUACCGGAGCUGCUAGACCCAGCCAACCCUGAGGAGCUGUUGGGGUUGCUACUGCUGGUGUACCCCGAGGAGACACCACACACUCACUGCACUGAGGAUCCAGGAUGGGAAUGGCUCAGGCCCAGGCGAGAAUUCUUCCAGUGCCCUAAUGCCAAAUCAGCCUAUCCAUCCCUCUUCCCUCAUCCAGCUCAGCAGUGAUCCCAGUGGAAGUACUGCUCCUCGUGAGUGAGGAGAUGAGCAGGUAUUGGAGAACCAUGGCGGGAGGCUUUCUCUUUGCAAUGAAGAUUCAGGAGGAAUGGUAGAAGCAGCUGAUAACAUGGACAGCCAUUGCAAUGUGACCAGCCACCUCUUUGCAGAUUGCCAGUAAGUGUUCUGUGGACAACUAGUCGUGCGUGGACAGCAAAUAAGGUGGAUAUCUGAUAAAAGUCAGAGGUACUAAUAAAUGAAGCAAGAAGAGUUGGUGUCUUUAAUGACUUCUCAGGAGAAAGGUCACUGGUAUCGUGUGAUUAUUGAAUAGGGUUUUAUUUUUUAAAAAAGUGCCUUGAAUCAACCUCUUAUUGUUUACUGUGUAUAAUAAGCCACUAAAAGCAGAACCUUUCCCCACUUAUGAUAGAGGUGCCCAUAAGCCUUUCAUUUAAGGGGGAAAUCUCUCUGUGCAGAGCCUCAUA